rnacentral:rRNA from 1 species
AAAGAGAGACCCGGCCCCGUUCACAAAAAAUGAGACCGCAUAAUCUCUUUCUCAAUCCCAUCUCUCUCUCUCGAACUCCCAGGUCUCUCCGCAUCUCCCCAUGAUGACCAGAUCCAUGUCUCUCAAAUUGGAUCAAGGAAUUUGGGCAUGGAUCCCUCUCUCAAUUACGUCUCUCUCUUUCUCACAAACUCUCAGAUUUCUUCUCUCCUCACCUCAAAUUGCAGCAAGGACUCUUUUAUCCUCACCUCAAAUUGCAUCAAGGACUCUUCUAUCCUCACCUCAAAUUGCAGCAAGGACGUUGGGGCGUGGAUCUCCUACGCUCAACGAGAUUGGAUUCAAAAAAAAAUCUAAGUAUUCAAUUUCAAAUCUAAUCUUCUCACGUAUGCUCUUUGGAUACGUCACGGAGAUCGGCUCGGGGCAGAACUAAGCCCAUUAGGCUAGCUUAUAAAUUAAGCCUGCAGCCUAACAUAGACCAUCUCAAAUCAAGGAGGCUCUGUUCGUUGUCAACAUCGUCAUUGGUCAGAUUCUCCUAUUAGGUCAAAUUCUUUUGUUUUCAAUUGAAACAAUGGCAUACAAUAUGCUCGAUGCGAUUAACAAUGGGAAGGAUUCCUGGAAAGUGAAGGUCAGAGUAAUUAGGCUAUGGGACGCCAUUAACCUCAAUAACAAUGAACUAAUUAGCCUUGACAUGAUACUGCUUGAUGAACAGGGCACUAUGAUACAUGCCAAGGUAAUAAAACAUAUGGUUAACAAAUUCAGGCCAUUGAUCCAAGAAGGUUUAGUCUACAUGAUAGCAAAUUUCAAGGUUACAUCUGCCAUGAAUUUCCGUCCAGUUGAAGACGACAAGAUUAUUAACUUCUUGCACACAACAAAAAUUCAAGAUAUUAAGGGACUUAAAAUAUCAAAAUAGCAGAACAAAGUUUCAUGUUUUGUAGUGUUGAAGUUCUUUCCACAAGAGAUGGCCAGAGGAUGUACUUAUCCGAUGUCAUUGGGGUAGCAAGUUAUAUAGGGAAUAUUGAAGAGACGGAGACAACUCAUGGGAUUUCCAAGAUUCGAGAUAUUGUACUUAGAAUUGAGGAUCAAAAAGUUAAUAUUAGACUGUGGGGUAAUAAGGUCGACCAAAUUGAUGAAGAUUCUAUGGGACGUGUUGUCAUAGUAACAUCAACAACUGUCAGAAAACUGAAAGAGUACUCGCUGUCAUCUACAGGUGCGACCAAAGUAUAUAUCGAUUUGGAUAUCCCUGAAACAGCUGAGCUCCAAACGAGGAAAAGUUCUAUACUGCAGAAGCAACCAUUAAGUCAAUUGAUACAUCAGAUGAGUGGUAUUACAUAGGAUGCGGCAAAUGUAACAAAAAACUACAAAAAGAAGGGAAUCAUUUCUACUGUCCAAAAUGUGAGAAAGAACCUGAGAAGACAUGUCCAAGGUACAAACUUAAGCUAGAGAUAUGUGAUCAUACUGCAACAACAACUUGCACCAUGUUUGAGACAGAAGCAAAAAAACUGAUUAAGCAAUCUGCAAGAUUCUUGAUAGAUAGGGAUGACUGUGAUAUCCAUGAGCAGGCAGAAAAAUUUCAGAAAAUAUGUGGGCAGAGAUUGAUUUUUCAGUUCAGACAGAAUGACUAUAAUUUCAAAACACUACGAAGGGCACUAAAAAGUCUAGGACUAGGAACACAUGUUGCGUUGUACAUUCUGAUGAAGAAUCAGAAGAGGAUAGCCAGGAGAAAGAUGAAUGCAAAUUGAAGGAAUCUAGCCCCAAAAGAAAGCGUACAAUAAGCAUUACUGGAGACGAAGAUUCCGAAAAAGAUGGAACUGAGAAUUAUUCAAAGACCAGCAUAAGGCUUACUGGUGUUGAUAAGGGAUCUAAGAAGAAAGGAAUUCAGAAUGAUAACCAUGAGCAAGUGAACAAAUUAUCACUUUCAAAAACUAUAAAGCAAGAAUCAGAGGAUGAUGAACUCACUAUUGACCAGACUAAAAGGGGUAGGAGACGGAGCACAGGUCGUGCUGCACAUCUUGACGAUGAAUCAAAAGCUGAAAGUAGUCAGGAAAUAAACAAGUCCAAGUCUAUGGAAUCAAGCCCCAAGAGGAAGCGUGUUGUACGCAAAUGCGUCGGUGUUGAUCAGGAGCACAAUGAUUCAAGGCCUAAGACAAGGCUUAGUUGUGUCGAUAAAAAAUCACUGAGCAAAGGCAUUCAGAAGUCUGGUGUAUUAAGGACUCGAAAGACAAGUCGCUAAUUAGUGGAGAUCCGUUAAUUUAGGAUGUAGUACAAUAGAUGGGAGCAUCACAUUUGUACUUUAUGUGAACUUCGUCAUUGUUUAAGAUAAUUUUAAUAAACGUAAAGGCAUACCUUUGUGUUAGCAAGUUAUUAUUCUCUCUAUUAUUCAGAAGUAAAUGUUUGGUGUAAUUCUGAAUAGUCUAAAACAAUUCAAU